rnacentral:rRNA from 1 species
GUCGAACGAUGAAGCCCAGCUUGCUGGGUGGAUUAGUGGCGAACGGGUGAGUAACACGUGGGCAACCUGCCCCAAACUCUGGGAUAACUCCUCGAAAGAGGUGCUAAUACCGGAUACGAACUAGACAGACAUCUGUACUAGUUGGAAAGUUUUUCGGUUUGGGAUGGGCCCGCGGCCUAUCAGCUUGUUGGUGAGGUAACGGCUCACCAAGGCUACGACGGGUAACCGGCCUGAGAGGGCGACCGGUCACACUGGGACUGAGACACGGCCCAGACUCCUACGGGAGGCAGCAGUGGGGAAUAUUGGACAAUGGGCGCAAGCCUGAUCCAGCCAUGCCGCGUGAGUGAUGAAGGCCCUAGGGUUGUAAAGCUCUUUCGGCGGGGACGAUAAUGACGGUACCCGCAGAAGAAGCCCCGGCUAACUUCGUGCCAGCCGCCGCGGUAA